UGACCUGCGGAAGGAUCAUUAACGAGUUAGGGUUCCUUUUGGGCCCGACCUCCCAACCCUUUGUCUACUUGACCAUCGUUGCUUCGGCGAGCCCGUCCUCACGGACCGCCGGAGGGACCCUCAUCGGCCCUCUGGUCCGCGCUCGUCGGUGGCCCAAAUCUUUAAAAUCUUUAACUAAACGUGCCUCAAUCUAAGUACUAUUUGUUAAAUAAAAGCAAAACUUUCAACAACGGAUCUCUUGGUUCUGGCAUCGAUGAAGAACGCAGCGAAAUGCGAUAAGUAAUGCGAAUUGCAGAAUUCCAGUGAGUCAUCGAAUCUUUGAACGCACAUUGCGCCCUUUGGUAUUCCGAAGGGCAUGCCUGUUCGAGCGUCAUUAUCACCCCUCAAGCCCCCGGCUUGGUGUUGGACGGUUUGGUGGAGGCCCCUCGCGGGCACCUGCCCCUCCUAAAGACAAUGACGGCGGCCUCGUUGGACCCCCGGUACACUGAGUUCUUCACGGGACACGUAUCGGACACAUGGGUUUACGGGGCACGGUCUGCCUCCCCUCAGGGAGAAUUUUAUCAAGGUUGACCUCGGAUCAGGUAGGGAUACCCGCUGAACUUAAGCAUAUCAAUAAGCGGAGGAAAAGAAACCAACAGGGAUUGCCUCAGUAACGGCGAGUGAAGCGGCAACAGCUCAAAUUUGAAAUCUGGCCUCUUUGGGGUCCGAGUUGUAAUUUGUAGAGGAUGUUUCGGGUACCGCCUCGGUUUAAAUUUCUUGGAACAGAAUGUCAGAGAGGGUGAGAAUCC
rnacentral:rRNA from 1 species